UACGGAGGGUGCAAGCGUUUAUCCGGAUUUACUGGGUUUAAAGGGUGCGUAGGCGGGUAAGUAAGUCCGUGGUGAAAUCUCUGAGCUUAACUCAGAAACUGCCGUGGAUACUAUUUGCCUUGAAUAUUGUGGAGGUGAGCGGAAUAUGUCAUGUAGCGGUGAAAAUGCUUAGAUAUGACAUAGAACACCAAUUGCGAAGGCAGCUCACUACUCAAUCAUUGACGCUGAGGCACGAAAAGCGUGGGGGAUCAAAACAGG
rnacentral:rRNA from 1 species